UACGUAGGGGGCUAGCGUUGUCCGGAAUCAUUGGGCGUAAAGAGCGUGUAGGCGGUCCGGUAAGUCCGCUGUGAAAGUCGGGGGCUCAACCCUCGAAUGCCGGUGGAUACUGUCGGGCUUGAGUACGGAAGAGGCGAGUGGAAUUCCUGGUGUAGCGGUGAAAUGCGCAGAUAUCAGGAGGAACACCGGUGGCGAAGGCGGGUCUCUGGGCAAUAACUGACGCUGAGGAGCGAAAGCGUGGGGAGCGAACAGG
rnacentral:rRNA from 1 species